CCUACGGGAGGCAGCAGUCGAGAAUCAUUCACAAUGGGGGAAACCCUGAUGGUGCGACGCCGCGUGGGGGAAUGAAGGUCUUCGGAUUGUAAACCCCUGUCAUGUGGGAGCAAAUUAAAAAGAUAGUACCACAAGAGGAAGAGACGGCUAACUCUGUGCCAGCAGCCGCGGUAAUACAGAGGUCUCAAGCGUUGUUCGGAAUCACUGGGCGUAAAGCGUGCGUAGGCUGUUUCGUAAGUCGGGUGUGAAAGGCGCGGACUCAACCCGCGGACGGCACAUGAUACUGCGAGACUAGAGUAAUGGAGGGGGAACCGGAAGUCUCGGUGUAGCAGUGAAAUGCGUAGAUAUCGAGAGGAACACUCGUGGCGAAGGCGGGUUCCUGGACAUUAACUGACGCUGAGGCACGAAGGCCAGGGGAGCGAAAGGGAUUAGAUACCCGAGUAGUC
rnacentral:rRNA from 1 species